UAGCGUAGGGUGCAAGCGUUGUCCGGAAUUAAUUGGGCGUAAAGGGCUCGUAGGCGGUCCAUCGCGUCGGGAGUGAAAAGCUGGGGCUCAACCCCAGUCCUGCUUUCGAUACGGGUGGACUAGAGGUAUGCAGGGGAGAACGGAAUUCCUGGUGUAGCGGUGAAAUGCGCAGAUAUCAGGAGGAAUACCGGUGGCGAAGGCGGCAUCCUGGACCGGCAUUGACGCUGAGUGAGCGAAAGCCAGGGGAGCAAACGGG
rnacentral:rRNA from 1 species